rnacentral:ribozyme from 14 species
UAAUGUAUUUGUAUGUUUCUUUCUGUCUUUCCUUCUGUAUUUGUGUUUUGUGUCUUACUUUUUGUUCGUACAGCUACGAAUGAUAUCAGCAACAACGA